rnacentral:rRNA from 2 species
UAGUACCUGUGAAGAUGCAGGUUACCCGCGACAGGACGGAAAGACCCCGUGGAGCUUUACUGCAGCCUGAUAUUGAAUGUUGGUACAGCUUGUACAGGAUAGGUAGGAGCCUUGGAAACCGGAGCGCUAGCUUCGGUGGAGGCAUCGGUGGGAUACUACCCUGGCUGUAUUGACCUUCUAACCCGCCGCCCUUAUCGGGCGGGGAGACAGUGUCAGGUGGGCAGUUUGACUGGGGCGGUCGCCUCCUAAAAGGUA